GUCCAAGAUGUCGACACCGACGGUCAUGAAGUUGGGUCCUGUCAGAAGAUCAUUAGUUCAGCUUAUGCAGACAAGAUGUGCACAGACAUCAGCGGCAACUGCACCAGAGCCAGCCAGAAUGAAGAAGUUUGCUGUGUACAGAUGGGUAGGUACUGUGUAGGCUAUUUGAUCAAACUUUCAUUUCUAUCAUCAAAUUGUAUCUUCAUCAUCAUGAUUUACAGAUGCUAUUAAAUGUAUCAAAGCUUGUCAUCAAUGAAUUUUAAUUCACGUUUUUGCUGGAAUACAACUUCCGCUAAAUCAAGUACAUCACCAAGUGCUAAACAUAUUUUUAUAUAAAAAGGUACAUUCAGAAAUCUGCUUAUUAAAUCAUAUGAAUGCUUUCUUGUUAAAUAAUUUCCUCCAAAUAUCAAACAUGCUAAAUAUACCUAUGUAAUGCGUUUACAGUUUAUUCCUUCAUUAGAAACCUUGUCUUACAAACUAGAUAAUUUCAGUUGCAUCAAUAGACUAAGAGAAUAUUUACACUCGUCUGUUUUAUCAGGAUCCAGAAAAGCCAGGAGAUAAACCCAAGAUGCAGACAUAUGAAGUGGAUCUAAACACGUAAGGAUUAGUAACAAAUUCUGAACUUAUUAGGUAUUGAUUUAUCUAAAGUCUAGAUUGUACCAUCCUAGAUUAGGUAUAAAUUUCAUUGUGUCAAUGAAUGACCAAUAUUUCUAAGUUGUUAUAUUCCAGCCAAUACAAGACAAAAAGACAAAUUUAUGUCUGUAUUUGAUUUUCAUCAGAUCUUUUCAAUGUCCUUAAUCAAGAACUGUGGAAUCAUCUUUGUUUGUGGGGGACCAGUGUUCCUGACUUUUGUUGCUAACCCUUGCCCCUAAAUUUACAUCCCCAUGACUGUAUAUACAAGCAUUUGUUUGAUCUUCAUUAAGAUUGUCCUGAUUACACUACCAACAAAAUGACAUCACCAAGAACCAGGAAAAUUUAGGCUACCCACGAAUUUUACCCCCAUGAAUAAAAUAUGAUUCAACAGUAUGUUACAUGUCUACAGUUUUCAUAAGCAAAACGGUAAAGAUUCUGAUGAACAAUAAUUUACAAUUAUUGCUGUUUUUGAGGUCAUUACAAUGAUUUAGCUACCUUAGAAGUACAAUAUUCACUGAGCCAUAGGCAAUUGUACUUUGAGGGUAGCUAAAUCAUCGUAUUGGUUGAAAAAAAUAAAAUAAUUAUUUUAUUAUAUGAUUCACCGAUGAAUUGAUACAGACUUACCGGUAUAUUAAAUUGAGUGUUAUCAAGCAGUGUUUUAGUUUGAAGCCAUUGCCGAAAAAAUUGAGAAACGCAAUGGAAAAUCAAAUGUUAUAUUGACCUCCUAGGUCAUGUGCAGUUAAAUAAUGUUCUGUUUUUUCGAGAUAGUUGGAUUUGAGCCAAUCAGAGAGCUAGGAAUUAAUCAAUCAUAUGAUAAUACAUGUUCAUCAUAUUGAUUCAUUGUAUGAAUUUAUUUAUGACAGAUGUGGUCCUAUGGUCCUUGAUGCUCUUAUCAAAAUUAAGAAUGAAAUGGACCCCACUCUAACUUUUCGACGAUCCUGCCGCGAGGGCAUUUGUGGCUCUUGUUCAAUGAAUAUUGGUGGAAGCAACACAUUGGCUUGUCUAUGGUAGGAUAUUUUUUUCACCAUUUCAUGAAAUGUUAAAUUAGGUUUUGUUCUUACAACAAAUUUGUCAUCGAGUUUGUUUCAUUUACUUUCCAGUAAGAUUGAUGAUAAUCUUGGUAAAGCCACCAAAAUCUAUCCCCUUCCUCACAUGUAUGUUAUCAAAGACUUAGUUCCCGACAUGAGCAACUUCUAUGCUCAGUACAGAUCCAUUGAACCGUAUCUGAAGAAAAAGGAUGGCAGUGACAAGAACAUUGGAGACAAGCAGUACCUACAAACCACAGGGGACAGGGCUAAACUGGACGGUUUAUACGAGUGCAUCUUGUGCGCUUGCUGUAGUACAUCCUGUCCCAGUUACUGGUGGAACUCGGACAAAUACCUCGGGCCAGCGGUCCUCAUGCAGGCUUACAGGUAACGAAGAGGUCUCUUGCUAACCUAAAAUUAAUGUUAACUGGAUUCUUUAUUGAAGUUGAUAGUCCUGUCAGUGACUUGUGCAACUAUAGUUCAUAUAUACCUGUAUAUACUGAAGUACUCUCAAUAUUUUGUAGAUGGAUGGUGGAUUCACGUGACGACUACACCAGCGAACGGUUGUUCCAAAUGGAGGACAGAUUUUCUGUAUAUCGAUGCCACACCAUUAUGAACUGCACAAAGACUUGUCCAAAGGUUGGUUUUACCUGUCAUUUUCAAAAAAUGUUUUAUUAUUAUUUCCUUAUCAGUAAAAGGUUCAGAUCUGAUAUUUUUUUUCUACUUUAUAUAGGGACUAAAUCCAGGACUUGCCAUUGGAGAGAUCAAGAAAAUGUUGGCCAAAUACAACAGCAAGGAAGCAAAACAACUGGCCCAGGCCUAACUCUAGUACUCUGUGUGCAGGGAAACGUCUGCAGAGUCAGACAAAACUGACUGAAACACCUUGAACACUAGCAAAACUCGGAAGGAGAUGUCUUGUGUAUUGCUUUUAUAUCUUAAUCUUAGCAUUUUCUCUGGUAAAUUUUGUGAAACUUUUUAAUAUAUUUGAUAAAUCUUUGAUGUUUGUGGCAGAGAAUACCUCACAUGAUUAAUUCAUUAACUGUUGUACACAUAACCUGUGUAAGAUUUUAUUUCUGUGUACAAUGAGUUUGCUUGUUUAUCUAUUUAUUGUAUCAAGGACAAUAAAUUUGUUAC
rnacentral:misc_RNA from 1 species